GAUGAACGCUGGCGGCGUGCCUAAUACAUGCAAGUCGAGCGAACAGACGAGGAGCUUGCUCCUCUGACGUUAGCGGCGGACGGGUGAGUAACACGUGGAUAACCUACCUAUAAGACUGGGAUAACUUCGGGAAACCGGAGCUAAUACCGGAUAAUAUAUUGAACCGCAGUGUUCAAUAGUGAAAGUCGGUUUUUCUGUCACUUAUAGAUGGAUCCGCGCCGCAUUAGCUAGUUGUUAAGGUAACGGGUUACCAAGGCUACGAUGCGUAGACGACCUGAGAGGGUGAUCGGCCACACGGGAACGGAGACACGGACCAGACUCCUACGGGAGGCAGCAGUAGGGAACCUUACGCAAUAGGCGAGAACCUGACGGAGCAACGCGGCGUGAGUGAUGAAGGUCUUCGGAUCGUAAAACUCUGUUAUUAGGGAAGAACAAAUGUGUAAGUAACUAUGCACGUCUUGACGGUACCUAAUCAGAAAGCCACGGCUAACUACGUG
rnacentral:rRNA from 1 species